CGGGCUCCGCGCGCUCCGGCAGCGCAGUCGGGUCCCCUCCCCCCGGGAGGCUUGCGAAGGAGAAGCCGCUGCAGAGGAAAAGCAGGUGCCGGUGCCUGUCCCCGGGGGCGCCAUGGCGACCGGAGCGAACGCCACACCGUUGGACUUCCCAAGUAAGAAGCGGAAGAGGAGCCGCUGGAACCAAGACACAAUGGAACAGAAGACGGUGAUUCCAGGAAUGCCUACAGUUAUUCCCCCUGGACUUACUCGAGAACAAGAAAGAGCUUAUAUAGUGCAACUGCAGAUAGAAGACCUGACUCGUAAACUGCGCACAGGAGACCUGGGCAUCCCCCCUAACCCUGAGGACAGGUUGGGAAACAGUUUUAACCAGCUGACAGUAACGCUUUUACCUUUUUCUCAAUACGUUUUACUGGUGGCAACAUAUUGUGUCAGUUCAAUAAAAUCCUAGUAUGACGACUGUACCCUGUCCACUCUGGGGAUUAAGGUUUAAUUAGAAAUAUGUAUGGUCAGUCAACAGUUAGAAAAUUGGAAUAAAACUUAAAAAUGUUGGGAGAAUAAAAAGUUACAGGAAAAUGGACAACUGGUUUCCAAUUGGUAAGCAUGUAGAUCUUCACCUGAUUUACCCACCCUUAGGGACAGUGAGGUGGCCCGUUAACCUGCCUUUUCAGUACCUGCUUUGGCCGAAAGCCCAGGGCAUAGAAUUUUUCUCACAGGUACACGGUGCAGGGACUAAAAAUAUUUUUGAGCAUCCCUG
rnacentral:sRNA from 1 species